rnacentral:misc_RNA from 1 species
GAAAUGCGAUACGUAAUGUGAAUUGCAGGAUUCAGUGAAUCAUCAAGACCUUGAACGCAAAUGGUACUAUACGGGUUUUCGGAUUCGUGUAGUAUAUCUGUUUGAGUGCUAGUUUGUCUUUAUCAAACCCUACGUUGUCUUUUUUCAAAAAGACGGGUGGGUGUUUGGAGAGUGACGCUUGUUGCGAACCGUUUUCAUCGGAUCGCAUGCGUUCAAGUGCAUUGCUGUGAGAACGACAUCUCACAAAAUGGUGAAGUAGUGUGAUUCAGUUCACUCAAUAAAUACCCGCCAAUUUGUUGUUGUCAUUCAAAAAACUCGCGGCUUCGCAGGAAAUAAAUCAAACUUAUCAAAUAGCCUCAAAUCAGAUAAGACUACCCGCUGAAUUUAA